AGAGUUGCUAAAAUAAAGAAAGGGAUAAUGUUUGCAGAAACCCAAAUUAUUACAUUUAGUCAUGGAUAUAUUCAAGAUGGAAAUUACUGUAUUUCCAGAUAAUCAGAUGAAUUAAGUUUGAUAAUGCCCUUCUAAUAGACUUAUUGUUCCCACUGAUUCUAAUUUUUUUAAGAUGGAGGUUGCUAGAGUUAUGAAGGAGAAUAUAUGAUGCUCUGCCCACAAGAGCAGGCAACAACUCCUCUUGGUGGCCUAGGACACUCUCUAGAAUUGACAUUGUUUGGCAAGUGUCAGUGUUCUGACUGGAUUCUCUCCCUGGCUCUCAGCAUCACAUCUCCCCAGCCUCAGAUUUGGCUCACCUUGUAAAGAAGAUGAAUAUGUUCACUUCAAAGGCAGUUACAUAUGAAGUUUAGUUAACAAGCUUUAAGUGAGAGUGUGGGAGAAAACUGGGAGAAAAAAUCAUGGCAAGACAAGCCCAAAACUCAUGUUUGAGCUACUGUGUGGCAAUGACUGCCAUUUUGUGGCCAAAGGCACGGAGACUGUUGCUCCAGGAACAGCAAGAGAUCUUUAAAGACCCACUAGUCAUUUGGGGAGGCCUGGGGAGAGCAGGAAAUGGAAUUUGGCACUGCGGCAUCAAGACUUGAAUAGAGCUGCUCAAGAGAGACCAUAUAAACACCCCUGAGCAAAUUGAACCACUAUUUUAGUCUUUCUAACAUUUUAAUCACUUCAAAAAAUUCCACAGCCAUAGACCCAGGUAUGCAUUUACGACAGCUCUAUUAAACUGAUGAAGAAAGAGGAGUUGCUUCUUGGAUUUGUUUUUCCCACUUAGGUCACGUUUACUAACACCUCUCGAAUGAGCCUUUAGUUAAAUCCAUGAUAUAGCAUCUAGUUUAAGGUGGUACCUCGCUUAGCAUCACACUAUGCAUGUUUAUCUUUUUGCUGUGAUACUGGGGAAGGCAAAAUGAUAUCACACUUGUUAUACACAAAACACGGCUCCUCUAAUUUUUAAAUGAACUUUCUUUCACAACCUCCUAUGCGAUAAACCUUUUAAAAUUGACUGUAGUUCUCCUGCACACUAAACCCUAGCAGGGUUUGCUGAUCCAGUGCAAGAUCAAACACAAAGUACUCUGAUCAGAGGCAUGUCAAAAUAUUAAAGAACACAGUGACAGCUUGUACCGCUUUAUCAGUUAAAACCACAUUAUACAUCAACCACAACCUGUCUGGCUUGCGCAUUUGAUUAAGUUUCCUAUUCAGCAGUGACUCAUUCGUAUUCCAUGCUUGUCUGAAUGACAAAUUGAACAUUGUGUUGUACUGCUACAAGAUGUGUUAAUAAACAGUGGUGGAAAGGCUUGAUCUGAAAGGUGCCGCACCAAUGCCACUGCUAGAACAGCGGUUGAUCUCAAAGCUGCAAAGCAUUGCUCGCUGCAUUUUGAGCCAGCGGCUCGCACCUACAACCAGGAACCUUCUCAAAGGAUUGGCAGAAGUGGUCUGGCUAUACAGGAGAGCGCAAGAGUGCACACAAUAUGCUUUUUGAGUACAACGUGGCUACUGCAAGCAUGGUAAUCUGCUGAAGGCAUCCUCCAUUCCUCCUAGCUGUUAAUGGCUGCAGAGUAAAGCCCCACUCUUUCCCUCUUCCCACUCCCUAUAAGAAACAAAAUGCCAAGCUUCGUGGCAGACUGGAGUUGGAAAAAUUAAUUCUCUUUCUCAGGCAGAAAGAUGGAGUCACCUCCAUAGGUGACAUGUGUCACCUAUUUUCUGUGUGGUUUCCUUAUGUUUCAAAGAAAAAAAAAGAAGCCCUAAAAAUGAGGCAGCUUCCAGCCAGUGGAAGCAGUGAAAGAUACUCCACCUGUUCUACCUGCUCUGCUAUGUGGUUUGGCAACUAUGCCCCUUUACUCGCAGUCACUAACUACACAUAUAAAGCAAACUUUCUUUUUUAAGAAGUGUUUAUUGAGAAGAGGGGUCUUCCAGCUGGCUAGAGCUACUGUAGACAUCUACAGCUCCCACCGAGGAGGUGGCAGAAAAUACAUGACAUGAAAUUACCGUUCUCUGUCUGCUUGGAGUGCUUCUUCCAGAUACAGGACUCACUGAGCCCGAUGUGUCUAAUUCAUCAGCAGAGGACCAUGAGGACAAUUCCUAAAGUUCAGAAGGAAUGGAGCUCAGAAAGACAGCAACUAGCUGUUCAGACAGUCCUUGCCUUCAGCAUUGACUAGCAACUGGCGGGACAUAUCUUGCAGUGAUGCCACCUUCAACUGAGACUCCAGCAGUUCACGUCUGAUUUGCUGUUGCCAAGAUCCUUGAUGAGAAGACAAAGUGGGACGGGGGAAGAAAAGAUGGAAAUCGGUAAAACGCGUGUCUUUCAGAAGAACCAAGCAGAGAAGGCACCACAAGAAUGCAAUGAUUUGCCAUCAGCAGCUGCACCGUGACACUCUCUUUACUCCGGAUAUGAGAUUUCUGUGCUCACUCUGUGACUCUGCAAAUGUUCACUCUUUAACAUCUACUAAAAUUUUACUGUGAGCACAACUAAAACAAGCCAAUUAAACUUGUAAAGCCUUAAAA